rnacentral:rRNA from 1 species
CCUACGGGAGGCUGCAGUCGAGAAUCAUUCACAAUGGGGGAAACCCUGAUGGUGCGACGCCGCGUGAGGGAAUGAAGAUCUUCGGAUUGUAAACCCCUGUCAUGGGGGAGCAAAUUAAAAAAAUAGUACCACAAGAGGAAGAGACGGCUAACGCUGUGCCAGCAGCCGCGGUACUACAGAGGUCUCAAGCGUUGUUCGGAAUCACUGGGCGUAAAGCGUGCGUAGGCUGUUUCGUAAGUCGUGUGUGAAAGGCGCGGGCUCAACCCGCGGAUGGCACAUGAUACUGGGAGACUAGAGUAAUGGAGGGGGAAGCGGAAUUCGCGGUGUAGCAGUGAAAUGCGUAGAUAUCGAGAGGAACACUCGUGGCGAAGGCGGGUUCCUGGACAUUAACUGACGCUGAGGCACGAAGGCCAGGGGAGCGAAAGGGAUUAGAUACCCUUGUAGUC